UCUUUCGUAAGCUCUCUGGGCGAGGGUGGCGGUGUGUUUUGUGAGGUUUAGCUUUACCCCAAAUCCUCCAGCUCCGCCGCCGCCGCAGUGCGGGUGCAGGAACCCGGCCAGGACUGCGCCCAGGGCGCUGCAGAGCGCUGGGGAGGAACAAAGGCGGCGCCUGGGCGCCUGUGUUGUCCGACAGCCUUUCGGGGUCUCGGGCAGCCCGUCUGCCGCGACCGAGGGGUCUCGGGCGUCCCGGCUGGGUCCAGUGUCUGUGCGCACGGUUUCGCAGACGCCAGGGGGCCCCUUUCUGUCUCGCCUCGUUCUCUGGGGACCGGGAGAGGAGGAGGCACCCAAAAAGAGCGGGGGCGUUGAGCGAGCUGGGGGAUGUGGGAGGGGGAACGGGAACAAAGCGCAGCCUGGGGUUAGCGUGGGAAGACCCCUCGCGGUCGUUGGCGUUUUGGAAAGAUAACCACACAUUCCCGGGGAAACAUGCGUGAGUGCAUCUCCAUCCAUGUUGGCCAGGCUGGUGUCCAGAUUGGCAAUGCCUGCUGGGAGCUCUACUGCCUGGAACACGGCAUCCAGCCCGAUGGUCAGAUGCCAAGUGACAAGACCAUUGGGGGAGGAGAUGAUUCCUUCAACACCUUCUUCAGUGAGACUGGCGCUGGCAAGCAUGUGCCCCGGGCCGUGUUUGUAGACUUGGAACCCACGGUCAUUGAUGAAGUUCGCACUGGCACCUACCGCCAGCUCUUCCACCCUGAGCAGCUCAUCACAGGCAAGGAAGAUGCUGCCAAUAACUAUGCCCGAGGGCACUACACCAUUGGCAAGGAGAUCAUUGACCUUGUGUUGGACCGAAUUCGUAAGCUGGCUGACCAGUGCACCGGUCUUCAGGGCUUCUUGGUUUUCCACAGCUUUGGUGGGGGAACUGGUUCUGGGUUCACCUCCCUGCUCAUGGAACGUCUCUCAGUUGAUUAUGGCAAGAAGUCAAGUCCAAGCUGAGUUUCCUCCAUUUCACCCAGCGCCCCAGGUUUCCAACGCUGUAAGUUGAGCCUACAACAUCCAUCCUCAACCACCCACACCACCCUGGAGCACUCCUGAUUGUGCCUUCAUGGUAGACAAUGAGGCCAUCUAUGACAUACUGUCGUAGAAACCUUGAUAUUGAAAGCGUCCAACCUAUACUAACCUGAAUAGGUUAAUAGGUCAAAUUGUGUCCUCCAUCACCUGCUUCCCUGAAUUUGAUGGAGCCCUGAAUGUUGACCUGACAGAUAUCCAGAACCAACCCUGGUGCCCUACCUCCCGCAUCCACCUUCCCUCUGGCCACAAUACGCCCCUGUCAUCUCGCUGAGAAAGCCCUACAUCGAACAGCUUUCUGUACAGAGAUCAACCAUGCUUGCCUUACCAGCCAGAACCCAGCAUGGUGAAAUGUGA